UCUCCGUUGGUGAACCAGCGGAGGGAUCAUUACCGAGUUUACAACUCCCAAACCCAAUGUGAACCAUACCAAACUGUUGCCUCGGCGGGGUCACGCCCCGGGUGCGUCGCAGCCCCGGAACCAGGCGCCCGCCGGAGGGACCAACCAAACUCUUUUCUGUAGUCCCCUCGCGGACGUUAUUUCUUACAGCUCUGAGCAAAAAUUCAAAAUGAAUCAAAACUUUCAACAACGGAUCUCUUGGUUCUGGCAUCGAUGAAGAACGCAGCGAAAUGCGAUAAGUAAUGUGAAUUGCAGAAUUCAGUGAAUCAUCGAAUCUUUGAACGCACAUUGCGCCCGCCAGUAUUCUGGCGGGCAUGCCUGUCCGAGCGUCAUUUCAACCCUCGAACCCCUCCGGGGGGUCGGCGUUGGGGACCUCGGGAGCCCCUAAGACGGGAUCCCGGCCCCGAAAUACAGUGGCGGUCUCGCCGCAGCCUCUCCUGCGCAGUAGUUUGCACAACUCGCACCGGGAGCGCGGCGCGUCCACGUCCGUAAAACACCCAACUUUCUGAAAUGUUGACCUCGGAUCAGGUAGGAAUACCCGCUGAACUUAAGCAUAUCAAUAAGCGGAGGA
rnacentral:rRNA from 1 species